CUUUUUAUGCACAGUUGGUUAGAGCAUGGUACUGAUAAUGCCAAGGUUGCAGGUUCUAUCCCCAUAUGAGAGA